rnacentral:lncRNA from 1 species
AUUUUUUUGUGUGUGAGAGAAAAUAAAACAAGCACUCACAAACGACUAUGGUGUGUAAAAUAAUCAGUGCUAUUUUGACUGUAGCUCGAGGUAGGACUCUCUCUCAAGGGAUAACACUCAUUGAAUUAGCCACAAGAUGGAGCCCUAGGGACCUGCGAACCGGUUGUUAGCGUUGCCCUCCUGAAUCAGAUAAAGAACAAAGUAGUGCUGUCUUUAUUAUACCGGAAAACGUUUUAUGAGAGACUUUAGUAACAGACAAGGCACUUCAGAGAAGCCUCACGAACACAAGCAUGAACAUAUUAAACAUGAAAAAUCAAUCUCUCACACUAAGCCAGGUAAGUUUGGUAAUUCAAUUUCCAGCCACUCCAAGCUCAGCUCAAUAUGGCCCACUGUGG